rnacentral:rRNA from 1 species
CUACGGAGGGAGCAAGCGUUGUUCGGAAUCACUGGGCGUAAAGCGAGUGUAGGUUGUCAGGUAAGUAGGAUGUGAAAGCCCGGGGCUCAACCCCGGAAUUGCAUUCUAAACUGCCUGGCUAGAGUCCCGGAGAGGGAGGUGGAAUUCCGAGUGUAGAGGUGAAAUUCGUAGAUAUUCGGAGGAACACCAGAGGCGAAGGCGACCUCCUGGACGGUGACUGACACUGAGACUCGAAAGCGUGGGGAGCAAACAGGAUUAGAAACCCGGGUAGUCC